CCCUCCCCGGCCGCAGAGCUGGCGACUUCUGGUGGACGCUGACCGAUUGUGGAAGUGGAAGUUUGGUUGGCCGGGCUUCUCCUUGUUCUUCAGUCGCUAAGCCGUGUCUGACUGUGAUACCAUGAACUGCAGCACGCCAGGCUCCUCUGUCCUCCGCGAUCUCCUGGAGUUUGUUCAAUCCUCUAGUGAAAGCUCAAGAGGAGAGAAUACAGAACAAGAACGGCAGAAGGUCCAUUGCAGCACCUAUUAGGCAAAUAGAAUGGGCUCUAUCCUUUCAUCCCAGAGGGAGAAGACCUGGCAGUGUUUCCCGUCUAUUUACACACCUAGAACUCAGUCACACGGCUGCCCCCAGGACUGGAAGACCAUCAGGCAUACUGUUAACCAAGCAUUUGGAUUCCAUUCUUUUUCCAGUACUGUAGUAAAAUGACAGGUAACUUGGCAAAUAUGCUUUCAUCGAGCAGCAGAGAUUUGUUAUUUAAUCUGAUUUAAAACUUAAAAUAACUCUAACUAGUAAGCUAAAACUUAAAAUUAUUGCAGUAUCCAAGGUAGGGGAUCUCAAUCUUGGCCACACAUCAGAAUCACCUGUGGAUUAAAAAGAAAAACAACCCAACAACAGUAAUUCUGAUUUAAUUAGUCUGAAGUGGGACCUGGCCACUGAGAAUUUGGAAAGUUCCCCCAGAUCACACUAAGGUGGGGCUAAAAUUGAGUUGCUUAUUUAGGGAAUGGAGUUCAAGUUGGUGACUUGAUUUGAUUUUCCAGUUAAAUGAGGAUUAAACCCUGUAACCUUCUGGUUCCUCUUUUUGUGGUCACCAGAAUUAGAGAAUUAAAUGUAAAGUGCACUUGUUUCUCUAAGUAGAAUUUCUUAGAUAUAACUAUCUCUCUUAUUGCUUGAGGUCUCCUGCAGUGAGUUAACAUCAUUACAUACUGAAAAUGGUUUAAAUUUGAACUAUAUGCUUUCAAAUGUAUUCCGGAAAAAGUUCGUUGUUUUUUUUUAAUUUGUCACUAUUUUGUGCAAUUUUCCUCUUUUUCAUAAGAAUAAAGUGUUAGGUGUCAGCUCCCACAUAUCCCCCCUCCCUCCAAAUCAGUUCUUUAAAGUUUUAACUAAUGGAUUUCUAACUAACGAUGUUCUUUUUGUGUUUCCCAAUGCAUAAGCAGGGAUAAAGGGCAUGUUAUUGACGUAAAACAUAAGUGGGACUUUGGCAACGAUUGGGUUUUAUUUUCAGGACCUAUUAGGAUCAUAAAUCCAUGGAAACGGAGCAGUUGCCAACACAUUUUCCUUUUGUAAAAAAGAACUGCUUCUGAGUAGAGCAGAUUAUGUCUUUCAAUACCACACAUUUGCUAAAAAGUGCACAAAUAUAAACAUUAAUUGUGCAUUCCGAAUUUCCAGUUACUGUGUAGUAGACAUAAAAUUGACCUUGUCCUAGUUUUACUUUCUUUGAUGACAUUCUUAAGAGCCACAGAAAAAUCAGAUCAAUAAGAUGGUGGCUCAGUUGGUAAAGAAUCUGCCUGCAGUGCAGGAGACCACCUGCAAUUCAGGAGACCCACAUUCAAC